AGUCAACGUACGUGUGUGGACUCACUCAUCAGAAUAAGAGUGUGCUGGAAGAACAGCGAUAAUUUCAGAAGGAAAUGUUGUACAUAGUAAAGUUCGAAAAAUGAGGUCAAAUCCGGGUUUGAGUUUACCGGGUCAAACAGGUCCCUAAGCCAAGAGCCUCAUUAAUAGUGGCUAUGGUCCCUUGCCUCACCUUGGAUAACAUGCUAGUUCCUCGGCUACUUAUAGCUAGUGGAUUC